rnacentral:pre_miRNA from 1 species
CGAAUAUUGCGUAGGCCUUUGCUUCGAAAGAAAUUCUCAAAAUGUUCGCAGCAAUUUCCUCCGCAAUAUUUU